AACGAACGCUGGCGGCAUGCCUAACACAUGCAAGUCGAACGGGAUCCGGACUUCGGUUCGGUGAGAGUGGCGGACGGGUGAGUAACACGUGGGAACCUGCCCAUUGGUCCGGGAUAACCGCGGGAAACUGCGGCUAAUACCGGAUGUACCCGCGAGGGGAAAGAUUUAUCGCCGAUGGAGGGGCCCGCGUCCGAUUAGGUAGUUGGUGGGGUAAUGGCCUACCAAGCCAACGAUCGGUAGCUGGUCUGAGAGGAUGAUCAGCCACACUGGGACUGAGGCACGGCCCAAACUCCUACGGGAGGCAGCAGUGGGGAAUAUUGGACAAUGGGCGCAAGCCUGAUCCAGCCAUGCCGCGUGAGUGAUGAAGGCCUUAGGGUUGUAAAGCUCUUUCACCAGAGAAGAUAAUGACGGUAUCCGGAGAAGAAGCCCCGGCUAACUUCGUGCCAGCCGCCGCCGUAACAC
rnacentral:rRNA from 1 species